GCAGCCAGUGCCUAUAUAAGCGGCUUUUAGACGAUCAAACACCAGAAAGAAUCCGAUACAUUGAAGAAUAAUAUUUUACGUUAAAGAGUGAGAUCCAGUUCUAUUGAAGUAAUCAACUAUAAUAUAUCUUAUUGGCUGUUACGGUUCUGCUCCUAAUGGCCCUUGUUGUCGCCCUGCCUUCAGGUGGUAUUGUUCGUGAAUACACCGUAUCUGAUCCCAAUGGUCAGGAAUACAUGCAAGUGAAGUCAUUUUCCCGAGAAAUGUCCCCACAAGAGGCCGAGAGCCAUCUUCACGGCAUGAUGAGUUCCAUGGGAGACCCACAAGAAAACUUCAGGAAGUUCGUCAAAGAACUUGAUUUACAUUUCUAACCUGUAUAUCGGGAAUUAUGUGAUCCUUCCGAACUGUUUACCCACAGAUUUGUCCAUGUUGGAUCAUCACAACAUCCAGUGUGAAUUUAUUUAUUCAGUAAUAUAGUGUAUAGCAACUACGUGGUUAUGGGUUGUGUAUCAUAAGGGGGUGUUACUGCCAAAAUCGACUAUUGUAUCUUUUUGUUUAUUUUUCGAAUAAAGGGUGUCAGUGUGUA